GUAAUGUUACAUUCCUUUGAUGCUCUUAGCUUGUAUCACUUUGGACCUAAUGGAUAAAGAAAGGGGCCAUAUGCCUCCAGAAGACUGCUCCCUUGGUCAUAAGAGAGAACAUCUGAAGGACCGUCUAAGGCUUCACGGGGGAGGACCUGAUUGCCAGAGUCAAUGAGGUUUGCCCUCCAGGUUUCGGGGAAUGGAUUCUACCAUGAUGAAGAGGCAUUCUUCUGAGCAGAAGGAAAGCCUACAUUUAACAUUUUUGCAAACGUCAAAACAACACGUAUAUUUGGAACAGAGGAAUGAAGAAGUGGUGGGGGGAAGUAUGCCCCAGAGAAUCACAGAGUCAGAGUCUCUCAGUAACUGCAGAUCAAGACUGGAUCUUCUUGAAUGGUGGUGGGACAGAGUAUGCAUUUUCCAUUGAGGGAGGCAGAAUUCUAAGAUGAGAACUCAGCUUACCUGACGAUUUGAUUUCAGCCUUGUGAAGCCCGGAGGAGAAAACCCAGCUUUACCACGUGAGACUUCUGAUCUACACAACUAUGAGAGA
rnacentral:lncRNA from 1 species